GAAAACAUUACUGCUCUGGCGGUGGCUUGGCAGAAGCCAGUUCCGGCCUGCGUCCCCUCCUGGCACACCUUGGUGGAAGGCUCACGUGACUCUGGGAGCCACUCGGUGCAAGAACUGCCGUGGCCUGCAAUGGUUUGAGAAGGGCAUGUGCUCCAGGCCUGGCCACUCAGUGUAUUUCAUUCCUCCAGAUUUUGAAAUGGAUUCAUGAUAUCAUGUUA